AUGGGGAACUCCGGUGCAUUUCAUAGUUCACUUACCCUACAAUCCUUAACUGUCUUCUCCCUCGUUGCUGUUUUUGCAGCAGAUCAUGUCCAGGGAGGAGAUGAUGGGUGCUCACCUUUCUCCUGUGGACAUCUCCGAGACAUAUCAUAUCCUUUCCGUCAGCGAGGUGAUCCUCUUGAUUGCGGUGUUGAAGCAUACGAGCUGGGUUGUACCAGUAGCAAGGCUACAAUUCACAUCAACACAGGAACAUACUAUGUGACUGCCAUCAACUACACUGGUUCCUACUUCUGGGUCAUGGAUCCCAUCUUCAAUACCAAUAGCAGCUGCCCUCUUCCACUGUGGAAUCACGUUCCUUACAUUGGUACAUACUUGGGCGGAAUUGAUUCAGUUUCACCACCUGGCUUUCGGUAUUUGGUCUCUCAAAGCUAUGAAGCAGCUUGUUUUGCUAAUUGUUCGCAAGCAGUAACGAAUAAUAGUGCAUACAAACCCGUUGCUUGCCUGAGUGCCAACAAUUCACAUGUUUAUGUCUGGGUGUCUAAUUACACAUAUUGUGUGGUUGAAGAUCUUGAGCCUUAUUGUGGAUACCUGGCCAAGAUUCCAUUUGGUAACGAGUAUUCUUCUGAUUGGGGACCGCUACAGAAUGCAAGUUAUGCAGAUAUCACACAAUUCAUAAGUAAGGGCUUUACUGUCCGAUUUCCUGUGGACACCAUGGGGCCUUCUGCUUCUGUGAAGUUAAGAAAGAACAUCAAUUUAUGCCUCAACAAUUCAAUCAGCUACUUCAAGGAGCAAUCAUCUGGUGCAAGCAUCGUGAAUUGGACUCAUGCUUUUUUCUGGAGUGAAGUGCACUUCUUAGAAUGCGUGACUCAGUUGUCCAACGAUCACUACUACACAACACCGUUUGUUUUGGUUGUUGUGACCAUAUUAUCUGCGAUUGCUAUCCCCAAGUUCUUUUUCGUACUAUUGAGGUUAUUGUUGGCACCCCUAGCUGUAUGGAUAUUCCUAGCAUACAAGUACUGGAAAACAAGGAUCAUAAUUGAUGCAGUUGAGAAGUUCCUCAGGAUUCAACAAAUGAUUGGCCCAACAAGGUACGCCUACACAGACAUCGUUGUAAUCACAAGCCAUUUCAGAGAUAAAUUGGGCCAAGGGGGCUACGGUACGGUGUACAAGGGUGUGCUUCUCCCAGGUGGCGUCCAUGUCGCCGUCAAGAUGCUAGAGGGCAAUUCCAACUGCAAUGGAGAAGAUUUCAUCAGCGAGGUCUCCACCAUCGGCAGGAUCCACCACGUCAACGUGGUGCGUUUAGUGGGGUUCUGCUCGGAGGAAAUGAGAACGGCCCUAGUCUAUGAGUACAUGCCCCAUGGUUCUCUGGACCAGUACAUCUUCUCUGCUGAGAAAAGCUUCUCAUGGGACAAGCUCAACGAGAUCGCUCUGGGCAUUGCCAGGGGGAUCAACUACCUACACCAAGGGUGCGACAUGCAGAUUCUGCACUUUGACAUCAAGCCACACAACAUCCUUCUCGACAGCAAUUUCGUCCCAAAGGUCGCCGAUUUCGGGCUCGCCAAACUAUACCCGAGGGGUGACAGUUUCGUGCCACUGAGCGCCAUGCGGGGAACCGUCGGCUACAUAGCCCCCGAGAUGAUAUCCCGGAGCUUCGGUGUCAUAUCCAGCAAAUCCGACGUGUACAGCUUCGGGAUGCUGCUGCUGGAGAUGGCCGGCGGGAGAAGGAACGCUGAUCCAAACAUGGGGUCCUCAAGCCAGGCAUACUACCCAUCAUGGGUGUACGACCAGCUGACUCAGGAAGAAGCGGGCGAGAUAUCUCCAGUUAAUGCCGACAUGCACGAGCUGGAGAAGAAGCUGUGUAUUGUCGGAUUAUGGUGUAUUCAGAUGAGGUCUCGUGAUCGGCCAACAAUGAGCGAGGUCAUUGAGAUCCUGGAUGCCGGGACCGACAGCCUGCAGAUGCCUUCAAGACCGUUUUUCUGUGACGAAGGGCACAUCCAUGUGGACGACUCUUACCAUUUCACUUCCGAGCUGACGGUGGUGUCAGAGGAGGAAUCGACUGCGGUGUCAGAGGAAGACAAUUUGUGA
rnacentral:rRNA from 1 species